CACUUUCUCUAUAUUUUUUUCUUAAUCUGUGAAGUUUCAGCUUUAAUUUCAUCCAUGAAUCAUCGCUCUAUCUCAUUUCGUUCAAGAGUUCUACGAUUUUGCCAUAGAUUUGGUCGAUUUUGCCCACUUUGCCCAAAGCGUUCGUCAGCACACAGGCCGGUGAGCAAUAUCCAGAAGUGGGGGUCGAAUCCAUGCAUCGAACCGUUCGUGCGUCGAAAAAUGCUCUCGUGAAUGAAUAAACAAAGCAGCUAAUCCCCGGCGCUGGCAGCACGGCGCAGCUUAUCCGCGCCACGGACACCGUCCGCGUCGCGACCGUGGGCACCAUCCGUGUCGAGAUCGACGGGCCACGAGAUUUUGCAAAAAGAGGGUUGUAAAUACGUUGCGCUUGAUUAGCAUAGCUCACCAAAUUCAAGAAAAAGUAUUGAAAUUUGAAAUAUGGCCGCGGUGGGCAGAGAAGAGGUGAAGGUGGCCGCGGUGGCCAAAAUCGAAGAGGUGGCUGAGGCCGCAGAGGUGGCGGCCGCUAUACGAUUUACAAUAAUUAUUAUUAAAAUUUCAUUUUUAUUAUAUUAUAUUAUCUUAUAUCCAUUAUAUCUUAUAUUAUAUUACUGUACUUAUAUUAUAUUAUUCUUUAUUCCUUUUAAUUAAUUAAAUAUUAUACUACACUGACGGACAAAAUUAAAGGGACACUAUUUUAAAACGUCAUAUCUAUGGGAGUUUUCAACCGAUUUUGGGGAAACUUGGCGGGGAGUAGUUUUGAAGUGUCCUCUAAAUGUGUGCGAAGUUGCAUUGGCGAGAGUUGAUACGAAGGGGUUAAUUCGCUCCCGUAAAGAGGGGCACGUCGAAAAACGCCACUUCUGAAGGGGCCAGGGGUGACAGAAGGGGUUGAA